rnacentral:rRNA from 1 species
UACGUAGGGGGCUAGCGUUGUCCGGAAUCAUUGGGCGUAAAGAGCGUGUAGGCGGCUCGGUAAGUCCGCUCUGAAAGCCCGGGGCUCAACCCCGGGAGGCGGGUGGAUACUGCUGAGCUCGAGUCCGGAAGAGGAGUGUGGAAUUCCUGGUGUAGCGGUGAAAUGCGCAGAUAUCAGGAGGAACACCAAUGGCGAAGGCAGCACUCUGGGACGGUACUGACGCUGAGACGCGAAAGCGUGGGGAGCAAACAGG